AUUGAACGCUGGCGGCAGGCCUAACACAUGCAAGUCGAGCGGCAGCACAGGGAGCUUGCUCCUGGGUGACGAGCGGCGGACGGGUGAGUAAUGUCUGGGAAACUGCCUGAUGGAGGGGGAUAACUACUGGAAACGGUAGCUAAUACCGCAUAACGUCGCAAGACCAAAGAGGGGGACCUUCGGGCCUCUUGCCAUCAGAUGUGCCCAGAUGGGAUUAGCUAGUAGGUGGGGUAACGGCUCACCUAGGCGACGAUCCCUAGCUGGUCUGAGAGGAUGACCAGCCACACUGGAACUGAGACACGGUCCAGACUCCUACGGGAGGCAGCAGUGGGGAAUAUUGCACAAUGGGCGCAAGCCUGAUGCAGCCAUGCCGCGUGUAUGAAGAAGGCCUUCGGGUUGUAAAGUACUUUCAGCGGGGAGGAAGGUGUUGAGGUUAAUAACCUCAGCAAUUGACGUUACCCGCAGAAGAAGCACCGGCUAACUCCGUGCCAGCCGCCGCCGUAA
rnacentral:rRNA from 1 species